AUGAACGUUGGCGGCGUGUCUAAGGCAUGCAAGUCGAGCGAUUCAUGCCCCGCAAGGGGUAUGACGAGCGGCAGACGGGUGCGUAACACAUUGGUAACCUACCUUCGAGACGGGGAUAGCUUCCCGAAAGGGAAAUUAAUACCCGAUGGUCAUGGGGGGACAUAUGUCAUUCCCAUGUAAAGAUUUAUCACUCGAAGAGGGGCCUAUGGCCUAUCAGCUUGUUGGCGAGGUAAUGGCUCACCAAGGCUUUGACGGGUAGGGGAUGUGAGAGCAUGAUCCCCCUCACUGGGACUGAGACACUGCCCAGACUCCUACGGGAGGCUGCAGUCAAGAAUAUUCCGCAAUGCGCGAAAGCGUGACGGAGCGACGCCGCGUGCAGGAAGAAGCCCCUCGGGGUGUAAACUGCUUUUACGAGGGAAGAAUUUGUGACGGUACCUCGUGAAUAAGAGGUUGCUAACUCUGU
rnacentral:rRNA from 1 species